CGGACGGGUGAGUACGCGUGGACUAACCUGCCGUAUACUGGGGGAUAACACUUAGAAAUAGGUGCUAAUACCGCAUAAGCGCACAGUCUCGCAUGAGACGGUGUGAAAAACUCCGGUGGUAUACGAUGGAUCCGCGUCUGAUUAGCUUGUUGGCGGGGUAACAGCCCACCAAGGCGACGAUCAGUAGCCGGCCUGAGAGGGUGAACGGCCACAUUGGGACUGAGACACGGCCCAAACUCCUACGGAAGGCAGCAG
rnacentral:rRNA from 1 species